UACGGGGGGAGCAAGCGUUGUUCGGAUUUACUGGGCGUAAAGGGCGCGUAGGCGGCCACCGCAAGUCGACUGUGAAAUCUCCGGGCUUAACCCGGAAAGGUCAGCCGAUACUGCGGGGCUAGAGUGCAGAAGGGGCAACUGGAAUUCUCGGUGUAGCGGUGAAAUGCGUAGAUAUCGAGAGGAACACCAGUGGCGAAGGCGAGUCCCUGGACAACACCUGACACUGAGGCACGAAAGCUAGGGGAGCAAACGGG
rnacentral:rRNA from 1 species